UACAGAGGGUGCGAGCGUUGUCCGGAAUUAUUGGGCGUAAAGAGCUCGUAGGCGGUCUGUCGCGUCGGCUGUGAAAACCCGCGGCUCAACCUCGGGCCUGCAGUCGAUACGGGCAGACUAGAGUGCGGUAGGGGAGACUGGAAUUCCUGGUGUAGCGGUGAAAUGCGUAGAUAUCUGGAGGAACACCGGUGGCGAAGGCGGCUUCCUGGACCGACACUGACGCUGAGGCGCGAAAGCUAGGGGAGCAAAGCGGG
rnacentral:rRNA from 1 species